GAGAGAGUGAGGGGUUUGCCAGCGCAGCUUGAAUGGAGUCGAAUGCCUAAGCACAUUUCGUUUAGGAGGAUUAACCUUUGAAGAGAUGUAAUGUCCUUCAAGCAGAUGUCACUGAU